rnacentral:rRNA from 1 species
AACGAACGUUAGCGGCGCGCCUAACACAUGCAAGUCGAACGCGAGAGGGGCAACUCUCUUGAGUGGCGCACGGGUGAGUAACACGUGGGUAAUCUUCCCCCGAGUGGUGGAUAACCUUCCGAAAGGAGGGCUAAUACAGCAUAAGACCACGGCCUCGAAAGAGGCUGAGGUCAAAGCGGAGGAUCGCAAGACUUCGCGCUUGGGGAUGAGCCUGCGGCCCAUCAGGUAGUUGGCGGGGUAACAGCCCACCAAGCCUAAGACGGGUAGCUGGUCUGAGAGGAUGAUCAGCCACACUGGAACUGAGACACGGUCCAGACUCCUACGGGAGGCAGCAGUGGGGAAUCUUGCGCAAUGGACGAAAGUCUGACGCAGCGACGCCGCGUGGGUGAUGAAGGCCUUCGGGUUGUAAAGCCCUGUGGGGAGGGACGAAUAAGUUCCGGUUAAUACCCGGAGCGAUGACGGUACCUCCUUAGCAAGCACCGGCUAACUCUGUGCCAGCCGCCGCGGUAACAC